rnacentral:rRNA from 1 species
GCUGGAAUUGCUAGUAAUGGCAGGUCAGCAUACUGCCGUGAAUACGUUCCCGGGCCCUUGUACACACCGCCCGUCACACCAUGAGAGUUGGAAAUACCCGAAGCCUGUGAGCUAACAAACGAGGCAGCAGUCGAAGGUAGAGCCAAUGAUUGGGGUGAAGUCGUAACAAGGUAGC